UUCUACUGUGCCCGUUGUCCAUAGAGGACUCUGAGCAAAUAUUGAAGUGGUGGAAGUGACUGAGAUCCGAUUUCCAAACUCUGUACUCUUCCUCCACCCAAAGUGUGACAAAGCCAGGUUUCUCUUGCGUUUGUGUUAGCUUCAUGACAAAACUCUAGCUCGCCCUUGCUUGCAGUUAUUAGCCGCCCUUCCCCUUUUCGUAGCUUUAACUUUCACAGACUCCCUCUACCCGCCCACCUUUUUUUGGUUUUGAAAUAGGAAUUGUGUUGACUGUUCGUUUUUUCUUCACUUUUUGUUUGAUGUGUUAAACUUUUACUCUUGUUCUCUUAUACUUCCUUUAAAGAAACACAGACUCUUGAAUUUUCCAGGGACAUCUUCCUUUUGCCCCACCUCCUCAACUAGGUGUACAGGGAAGUUUGGCGCUGCUUCUCAGAAUGGAUACCCUAAGAGGGUGUUGGCUUCUCUUGGGGCUUGAGUUUGACUCCUUGCUACCCUGGAGCUUGUCCUCCGCAGUUUCACGAGUCUUAUUGCACAUUCCAAGUGUGUUUAGGGAUCCCAGUGACAGUGCUUACUACUCUGUUUUGAUGGAGAUGAUGGGUCAACCUAGUCUGUUCUGUUGCUGCUGUGAUAAAUCAUUGCCAACUCAGUGCCUCACAACAAGGAACAUUUAUGUUUCUCCAGAUCCAUGAAGGAGUCUGAGGCAAGUCUGGUAGGUCUACAAUCAAGGCAUCAGUGAGGCUGAAUUCUUCCUGUAGACCGUUGAGGAGCAAACAAUUCAUUUGUCACUUCCAGUUUCUAGAAGCUGCCUGUAUUCAUGGCCUUCCCUAUGGUUUAAAUAUUGAUCUAGAGAUUUCACAUACUAGAAAUCACCAAAGUCAUAUGUGAAUAACAUGUAGAGGCAGGGUCUUCAGCAGAGCCCUUAUGAAUGCUGAAGGAAUCCAUCAACCUAUUUGUGGAUUAAUACAUUAGUGAGAUGUAAAGGGAGCGGCUUUGCGACAGAGCCCCCCCCCCCAUCUUGUGUACCUGCUUCCGUAUCUAACUUGGGUAAUCUUUUCCACAUUACUCAUUAUCACUGAUAUGUACAUCGAUGUCUGUGAUCUAACAUGAUGCAUAUGAGGCCUUCUAGGUUCCGAAAAAAAUAGUUAUUGCUGACAUACUUUAGCCUCACACACCUUCUAGAUUCUUCCAUGUGCUUUUUCUUUUCUUCCUGAAACAUGCUAUCCCUACAUAGCCAAGGCUGGCCUAAAACCCUCAACCCCCUUGACUGGGCUUCUCAAGGGCAAAUAUUACCCUACCUAAUGGUGGCUGGCUUCUCCCGUGUUUUGACAUAGUUUGCUUUUUUCUCCCAUUUUGUGUUAGAUGUAGGAACUUCAAAGUUUCUGAUUGUCAUGUGCUGAAUCUCAUUUCCUUCAGUUUGUAGCUUCUAGGCUAAUAGUUGUUGGAGAAAUACAUACUCCUUCUCAUGAAGCAUGGUCAAAAGAUCAGAUACAGAGACUAAAAAUAAAUCUCUGGCAUUAAAGGAACA
rnacentral:lncRNA from 1 species